AGAGAGAGACAUGCGCGCAUAUCAAUAAGCGGAGGAAAAGAAACUAACAAGGAUUCCCUUAGUAACGGCGAGUGAAGCGGGAAGAGCUCAAAUUUGAAAUCUUCAAGGUUUACCUUGACGAAUUGUAGUUUAAAGAAGUGUUUUCUGCUGAAGUUUUGGUAAAAGUUCUUUGGAAUAGGACAUCAUAGAGGGUGAGAAUCCCGUAUUUGACCAUUAUUUUCAGCUUUGUGAUACGCUUUCAAAGAGUCGGAUUGUUUAGGGAAUGCAGUCCAAAAUGGGUGGUAAAUUUCAUCUAAAGCUAAAUAUUGGCGAGAGACCGAUAGCGAACAAGUACCGUGAGGAAAGAUGAAAAGAACUUUGAAAAGAGAGUUAAACAGUACGUGAAAUUGUCAAAAGGGAAGCGUUUGACACCAGUGUUGUUUUCUCGAAAAUCAAUUAAAAAUGGCUCGAUUUUGUAUUGUUGAGACCUUAAAAGCUCACUGUACAUUUUUCGUGUCUUUUUUAAUGCACUUUUCGUUUAACAAGUCAACAUCAGUUUCUUUUGUUGUAAAAGGGUCAUUGGAAGGUGGCUUUCUUUUCGGAGAAAGUGUUUAUAGCCUUUGGCCUCUGCAAUCGGAGAGACUGAGGUCUGCAGCGUAGACUCUUCGGGGUUAGAUACAUUUGUGCUAAGUUAUAGCUUUUUAUAGACAACUUGUUGACUAUAAUUAGUCUUGUAGCUUACUCGCUUAUGCUAUUUUACCUACGCUUAGGAUGUUGAAGUCAUCGUAUCGCGC
rnacentral:rRNA from 1 species